UCCUGUCACAUGACCUUUGCAAUGAGCUUCCUAACCAAGGUGUCCGGUCCAUAACUCUUCAACACGCUGCCAGCUCCUGGUCAGAAAGACGCAUUUAGUUCAGAGUCCAUGAGAUGAUAUUCAGAAAGGAUUUUUUUAUUGAUUGAUUUUAGUUGCCUCUGCAAUGAACUCUUUGCGUAAAGUCUGUAAUGUCUGCC